CUACAAGUUCGAGCUGCAGCAUGGUAGUGAGGACAACCAGAAGGAUGUGCUGAAGAGGUGUGUUGCUGCUGAGCCAAAGCACGGUGAGAAAUGGCAAGCUGUUUCUAAGGCUGUGGAGAACUCUCACCAGCCAACUGAAGCGAUCUUAAAGAAAGUUGUCUUGGCACUUGGGAAGGAAGAGACUGCUGCUGAAAGCAAUGGACACUAGUUGCUUGUGAGCUUUUUGUUAGAUUGUUUUUCUUUCUCUUUUGAAGUGCUUACUUUCAACUAAUAUAGCUGGGUGAAUAAUAUUUUAGCUAUUUAUAAAUUUGUUUCUGCUAUAGUUUGAAGUUGGAUACCUUAAAUACAUGGUCUGCAGUGAUGAAAUUAUGGUUAUUUAUUUUGUAUCUAUGGAUAGGGUAGGGAUCAAUCCAACAAGUUUUUUUUUUUUAAUUUUUUGGGACAUGCUUAUUGUCAAUGAUCUGGCUUUAAAAUGUUGGUUUUUGUUGGAUAAUCUGUACAUCCUAACCUACUGCUUGGUUUUAUCAUCUCAGGGUCUGAUAAUUGUUUAGUUGGUAUCAUUGACUCAUUUCUUGAAUGACGUUGUUGGGUGUUCAAAAAAGUAAGCUCUUGGAAGUGUUUGAGUGAAGCUUUAUUUGAUAUUCAGCAUUUUAACCAUUGUGUCAUCUUUAAAUGUUUAUUUGCCUUUUUUGUUUUCGUAACGUCCAUAUAGUGUAUUGUCUUUGCUUUUUGCAUUAACUUGCCAUUCCACCUUAUUCAAGUUCUUAUUUUUGAAAAUUUUGCAAAUAAGAAAAAUUCUGGGACUAGAUUUUAUGACAUCCAGGAGCCAUGUCUGGGUCUGCCUGCCUCAUCAAAUGUAUGCCUCACUUUUCUAAGAGAUGGUGCUAGAUAAACUGCUUCUUCAUAACACAUUUUUGCUUUGUGAUCGUCAACACUUACCUUUCUUAUGACUUGAAAUAUCUUCCAACUGGUGGGGUAGAAUCUGGGAUGAAUAUUGGUGCAUAGGUUCUUUGUUCUUCUAGGUUGGUUGGGAUUCUUGAGACAAUUCUGGAGAGAGUGCUAGAUUUGGAACUGUUGGAGUUGGAUGAUAGGUUGGAGGUGAUUAGUUCUUAGUGGGUCUAGAUCGUGGCUUAGGUGGAGCAGGAGUUGGAGUAUGUUUGAGAUGAGACAUGCCAAAGAAUUUGGCAUAGUCUACAGGUUGCCUAGAGGUAGAGGGUGUAUAAAAAGGUUGGUAUGUGGUGAAGUUUGGAGCAUGUAGGGGUAGAGCAGGAGAUUUUGCAAACAAAGAGUCCUCAAAAUGCAGAACUCUGGCUUGCUGCGAUUCGAGCUGAGUUGAAGCAUGGAAAUAAGAAAGAAGCUGAUUCGUUAAUGGCCAAGGCAUUGCAGGUGUGUCGGAAGAGUGGUAUAUUGUGGGCUGCAUCAAUUGAGAUGGUUCCCCGUCCUCAGCGCAGAAGCAAGAGUGCAGAUGCUUACAAGAAUUGUGAUCAUGAUCCGCAUGUAAUAGCUGCUGUGGCUAAGUUGUUCUGGCAUGACAGGAAGGUUGAUAAGGCAAGGACUUGGCUCAACCGGGCAGUGACCCUUGCUCCAGAUAUUGGGGAUUUCUGGGCAUUGUACUACAAGUUCGAGCUGCAGCAUGGUAGUGAGGACAACCAGAAGGAUGUGCUGAAGAGGUGUGUUGCUGCUGAGCCAAAGCACGGUGAGAAAUGGCAAGCUGUUUCUAAGGCUGUGGAGAACUCUCACCAGCCAACUGAAGCGAUCUUAAAGAAAGUUGUCUUGGCACUUGGGAAGGAAGAGACUGCUGCUGAAAGCAAUGGACACUAGUUGCUUGUGAGCUUUUUGUUAGAUUGUUUUUCUUUCUCUUUUGAAGUGCUUACUUUCAACUAAUAUAGCUGGGUGAAUAAUAUUUUAGCUAUUUAUAAAUUUGUUUCUGCUAUAGUUUGAAGUUGGAUACCUUAAAUACAUGGUCUGCAGUGAUGAAAUUAUGGUUAUUUAUUUUGUAUCUAUGGAUAGGGUAGGGAUCAAUCCAACAAGUUUUUUUUUUUUAAUUUUUUGGGACAUGCUUAUUGUCAAUGAUCUGGCUUUAAAAUGUUGGUUUUUGU
rnacentral:lncRNA from 1 species